GCUUUUGCCCAGAGGAAGGGGAAUUGGGUGCCUUUGGGAGGUCGGACGCAGGGUGUGGCAAGGGUGUGUGUUAGGUUGUGUGUGUGAGGUGUUGGGUUAAGUCCCGUAACGAGAGGCGCACCCUUGUCCUUAGGUACCAGCACCUCGGGUGGGCACUCUAAGGAGACUGCCGGUGACAAACCGGAGGAAGGUGGGGAUGACGUCAAAUCAUCAUGGCCCUUACGGCCAGGGCUACACACGUGCUACAAUGGUCGGUACAAAGGGAUGCCAAGUCGCGAGGUGGAGCUAAUCCCAUAAAACCGAUCGUAGUCCGGAUCGCAGUCUGCAACUCGACUGCGUGAAGUCGGAAUCGCUAGUAAUCGUGAAUCAGAAUGUCACGGUGAAUACGUUGCCCGGGCCUUGUACACACCGCCCGUCACGGACAUGGGAGAGGGUUGCUC
rnacentral:rRNA from 1 species